rnacentral:lncRNA from 1 species
AUGGCAAUCCCAGUUGAGCUAUUUCAAAUCCUGAAAGAUGAUGCUGUGAAAGUGCUGCACUCCAUAUGCCAGCAAAUUUCGAAGACUCAGCAGUGGCCACAGGACUGGAAAAGGUCAGUUUUCAUUCCAAUCCCAAAGAAAGGCAAUGCCAAAGAAUGCUCAAACUACCACACAAUUGCACUCAUCUCACAUGCUAGUAAAGUAAUGCUCAAAAUUCUCCAAGCCAGGCUUCAGCAAUAUGUGAACCGUGAACUUCCAGAUGUUCAAGCUGGUUUUAGAAAAGGCAGAGGAACCAGAGAUCAAAUUGCCAACAUCCACUGGAUCAUCAAAAAAGCAAGAGAGUUCCAGAAAAACAUCUCUUUCUGCUUUAUUGACUAUGUCAAAGCCUUUGACUGUGUGGGUCACAAUAAACUGUGGAAAAUUCUGAGAGAGAUGGGAAUAUCAGACCACCUGACCUGCCUCUUGAGAAAUCUGUAUGCAGGUCAGGAAGCAACAGUUAGAACUAGACAUGAAACAACAGACUGGUUCCAAAUAGGAAAAGGAGUGCGUCAAGGCUGUAUAUUGUCACCCUGCUUAUUUAACUUAUAUGCAGAGUACAUCAUGAGAAACGCUGGGCUGGAAGAAGCACAAGCUGGAAUCAAGAUUGCCGGGAGAAAUAUCAAUAACCUUAGAUAUGCAGAUGACACCACCCUUAUGGCAGAAAAUGAAGAGGAACUAAAGAGCCUCUUGAUGAAAGUGAAAGAGAAGAGUGAAAAAGUUGGCUUAAAGCUCAACAUUCAGAAAACGAAGAUCAUGGCAUCUGGUCCCCUCACUUCAUGGCAAAUUUAUGGAGAAACAGUAAAAACAGUGAGAGAUUUUAUUUUGGGGGGCCCCAAAAUCACUGCAGAUGAUGACUGCAGCCAUGAAAUUAAAAGACACUUACUCCUUGGAAGAAAAGUUAUGACCAACUUAGAUAGCAUAUUCAAAAGCAGAGACAUUACUUUGCCGACUAAGGUCCGUCCAGUCAAGGCUAUGGUUUUUCCAGUGGUCAUGUAUGGAUGUGAGGGUUGGACUGUGAAGAAAGCUCAGCACCAAAGAAUUGAUGCUUUUGAACUGUGGUGUUGGAGAAGACUCUUGAGAGUCCCUUGGACUGCAAGGAGAUCCAACCAGUCCAUUCUGAAGGAGAUCAACCCUGGGAUUUCUUUGGAAGGAAUGAUGUCAAAGCUGAAACUCCAGUACGUUGGCCACCUCAUGAGAAGAGUUGACUCAUUGGAAAAGACUCUGAUGCUGGGAGGGAUUGGGGGCAGGAAGAGAAGGGGAUGA